CCUACGGGCGGCAGCAGUGGGGAAUAUUGGACAAUGGGGGGAACCCUGAUCCAGCCAUGCCGCGUGUGCGAAGAAGGCCCUCGGGUUGUAAAGCACUUUCAGUGAGGAAGAACGCCUGGUGGUUAAUACCCAUCAGGAAAGACAUCACUCACAGAAGAAGCACCGGCUAACUCCGUGCCAGCAGCCGCGGUAAUACGGAGGGUGCGAGCGUUAAUCGGAAUUACUGGGCGUAAAGCGCGCGUAGGUGGCUUGAUAAGCCGGUUGUGAAAGCCCCGGGCUCAACCUGGGAACGGCAUCCGGAACUGUCAAGCUAGAGUGCAGGAGAGGAAGGUAGAAUUCCCGGUGUAGCGGUGAAAUGCGUAGAGAUCGGGAGGAAUACCAGUGGCGAAGGCGGCCUUCUGGACUGACACUGACACUGAGGUGCGAAAGCGUGGGUAGCAAACAGGAUUAGAUACCCGAGUAGUC
rnacentral:rRNA from 1 species